CUCUGGCCCUAUCGAAGCUGUCAUAUGUUUAUUGCAAGGCAUGCGAUAGUCAAAAUGAGGCCUAAAUAAAUGUUCUACCUUAGGUCACUGUAUAGUUCUCUGCCAUAACUGAAACAGUAUUACCCAGGUAGAAAACAAUA